rnacentral:rRNA from 1 species
CCCUGCCAUUUGUACACACCGCCCGUCGCUGCUACCGAUUGAAUGCUUUAGCGAGCUCCACGGACUGGAGGCCGUGGGUGGGAAACCACCUGCGGCUGCCGGGAAGUGGCGCAAACUUGAUCAUUUAG